UACGGAGGGUGCAAGCGUUAAUCGGAAUUACUGGGCGUAAAGCGUGCGCAGGCGGUUUGUUAAGUCUGUUGUGAAAUCCCCGAGCUCAACUUGGGAAUUGCAAUGGAUACUGGCAGACUUGAGGAGGGUAGAGGAGGGUGGAAUUCCCGGUGUAGUGGUGAUAUGCGUAGAUAUCGGGAGGAACACCAGUGGCGAAGGCGGCUCUCUGGGCCCUACCUGACGCUGAGACGCGAAAGCGUGGGGAGCGAACCGG
rnacentral:rRNA from 1 species